rnacentral:piRNA from 1 species
UGGCGUUCCCCCUGUACUGAGGCAUAUA